CUACGGGUUGCAGCAGUCGAGGAAAUUUUACAAUGCUCGAAAGAGUGAUAGAAUGAGUCAGAGUGUUUCUCUUAGAGAAACUUUUGUUUGCUGUAAAAAGGCAGACGAAUAAGGACUGGGUAAGACCGGUGCCAGCCGCCGCGGUAAUACCGGCGGUCCGAGUCGCAUCCACAUUUAUUGGGUCUAAAACAUCCGUAGCUUGUUUUGUAAGUCUCUUGUGAAAUCUUACAUCUCAAAUGUAAGGCGUGCAAGAGAUACUACAUCACUAGAGACCGGAAGACGCAAAGAGUAUGAUAAAGGUAGCGGUAAAAUGCGUUAAUCUUAAUCAGACUAACAAUAGCGAAGGCACUUUGCGAGUACGGAUCUGACAGUAAGGGAUGAAGGCUAGGGUCGCGAAAGGGAUUAGAUACCCCAGUAGUC
rnacentral:rRNA from 1 species